UACGUAGGUGGCGAGCGUUGUCCGGAAUUACUGGGCGUAAAGGGAGCGUAGGUGGUUUUUUAAGUGGGAUGUGAAAUCCCCAGGCUUAACCUGGGAAUGGCAUUCCAUACUGGAAGACUAGAGUGCAGGAGAGGAAAGUGGAAUUCCAAGUGUAGCGGUGAAAUGCGUAGAGAUUUGGAGGAACACCAGUGGCGAAGGCGACUUUCUGGACUGUAACUGACACUGAGGCUCGAGAGCGUGGGGAGCAAACAGG
rnacentral:rRNA from 1 species